rnacentral:rRNA from 1 species
UACAGAGGUCCCAAGCGUUGUUCGGAUUCACUGGGUUUAAAGGGUGCGUAGGCGGGUAUAUAAGUCAGUGGUGAAAGCUCCGGGCUUAACUUGGAAACUGCCAUUGAUACUGUAUAUCUUGAAUGUCGUAGAGGUUAGCGGAAUGUUGCAUGUAGCGGUGAAAUGCUUAGAUAUGUUACAGAACACCAAUUGCGAAGGCAGCUAACUAUGCGAUAAUUGACGCUGAGGCACGAAAGCGUGGGGGAGCAAACAGG